rnacentral:hammerhead_ribozyme from 1 species
AGGCGAAACAGUCCAAUUAAGGGCUGUCCUCCGGGUCUGACUAAUCCGGAGCUGAUGAUGCUAGG